ensembl:lncRNA
GGGUCAAUAUGACAUAUUUUUCAAAACUGUUUUGGUACCUCCAGUGAAUCAAUCAAAAUGAAAUUGACAUCAUCAUAGAUUAAAAAAAAAUUCCAUUCGAGUGAAAGUCAUGCAGUUGUGACUGACUCUUUGCAGCCCAUGGACUAUGCACUCCAUGGAGUGGGUAGCCAUUCCCUUCUCCAGUGGAUCUUGCUAACCCAGGGAUCUUCCCAACCCAGGGAUCUUCCCACCAAGGGAUUGAACACAGGUCUCCUGCAUUGCAGGAGGAUUCUUUACCAGCUGAGCCACCAGGGAAGUCCAAGAAUACUGGAGUGGGUAGCCUAAUCCCUUCUUCAGGGGAUCUUCCCAAGCCAGGAAUCGAACUGGGGUCUCCUAGACUGCAGAUGGAUUCUUUGCCAGCUGAGCUACUAGGGAAGCCCGAAUAAACUAAUGGAAGUUUAUUAAAUAUUCAGAUGGCUAGGCACCUACCUUGAGGAAUCUCAUUUAAGUGAUACAGGGAGUCCCAAGUUUAGUCUUAAAAUCAGGAAAACUCAACUAAAUGUUUACUUUGCAUCUACUCUGUAACCAGUAUUUGUUGAUUUCUUGGUCAGUGUCUUCCUUUUCUCUAUUUAUUCAUUUGUCAUUCUCUUUUUCAUUAUUUAUAGUAUGAUCUUAAAAUAUAUAGGUGUGGAUAAAAUUUUUUCACUUUCUCAUAUACAAAUAUAUUUGUCUUGUUAUUAUCUGUGAAAAUAUGGCCAACUAUGGAAUGCUAGAUUCAAACAUAUGUUUCAAAUAGGCUCUACUGGCUGUUGAUAUUUGUUUCUGGUGAAGAAUCUAAUUCCAGUCAUAUUUUCAAUCAUUAAUAGACAAUCAACCUUAUUGUCCUUUUCUAUCUGAAAAUCUUUAGAAUUUUCUCUUUAGUUUGGAAUUUUGAAAUUUCACCAGAAAUUUUCCUAUUUUUGAAAAUUGUUUUCUGUUAGAAUUUUUCUUCCUGUUUUAUUGAGAUAUAAUUUACGUAUGGCACUGCAUAAGCUGAAGUUGUAUGACAAUUAUUUGACUGACACACAUCUUGCAAUGAUUACCACAGUGGGUUACUGAAUAUCCAUCAUCUCAUAUAGCUAUAAAAUUAAAGAACUGGAAGAAAUAUAUUUUUCUUUGUGAUGAGAACUCUUAGGAUUUGCUCUCUUAACUUGCCUAUAUAACGUGCAACAGUAUUAUAUUUAUGCCAUAGAACAUCCCUAUAUUUAUUUAUAUUAUAACUGAAAGUUUGUACCUCUUGAAUACCUUCCUUCAUCAAAUUCCCUGGUCUCCUACCUCCAUCUCUAAUCUUCUGGACUCAGGGAUGGAACCCAUGUUUCCUGCAUUGGCAGGCAGCUUGUUUUCCACUGAGCUAGGAGCAAAUCUUAUGUUACAUUAUAUAACUUAUUUAUCUUCUGAAGCUUAAGAGAUAGGUAACAUUAUGGGAUUUUUAUUGAAGAAGAAACUAACCAUAUAUAACUGUAUAGCUUCCCAAGUUUGUUUGGUUCCAGAUGGUAGCUCAGUUGGGAAAGAAUCCAUCUGCAAUGCAGGAGACCCUGGUUUGAUUCCUGGGUCAGGAAGAUCCUCUGGAGAAGGGAUAGGCUACCCACUCUAGUGUUCUUGGGCUUCCCUAGUGGCUCAGUUGGUAAAGAAUCUGCCUGCAAUGCAGGAGCAGAGAAGGCAAUUGCAACCCACUCCAGUACUCUUGUUUGGGAAAUCCCAUGUAUGGAGGAGCCUGGUAGGCUGCAGUCCAUGUAGUCUAGAAGAGUUGGACACAACUGAGUGACUUCACUUUCACUUUUCAGUUUCAUGCAUUAGAGAAAGAAAUGGCAACCCACUCCAGUGUUCCUGCCUGGAGAAUCCCAGGAAUGGGGUAGCCUGGUGGGCUGCCAUCUAUGGGGUUGCACAGAGUCGGACAUGACUGAAGCAACUUAGCAGCAGCAGCAGCAGCAGCAGCAGCAGCAGCAAUGCAAGAGACCUGGGUUCAUUCCCUGGGUUGGGAAGAUCCCUUGGAGAAGG